GAUGAACGCUGGCGGCGUGCCUAACACAUGCAAGUCGAACGGAGGGGACCUGCUUUUCUGGGGUGCUCGAGUGGCGAACGGGUGAGUAACACGUGAGUAACCUGCCCACGACGAUGGGAUAACUUCAGGAAACCGGGGAUAAUACCGGAUAGGAGCACCGGCAGGAUGGUGGUGGUUGGAAAGGUUCGAUGGUGGGGGAUGGAGUCGCGGCUGAGCAGUUGGUAGGUGGGGAGGUGGCUUACCAAGGCUUCGAUGGGUCGUCGGCGUGAGAGGGGGACCGGGCACCUGGCGACUGAGAUACGGCCGAGAGUCGUACGGGAGGCAGCGGUGGGGAGGAUUCCCCAAUGGGCGGAAGCCUGAUGAAGCAACGCCGCGUGCGGGAUGACAGCCUUCGGGGUGUGAACCGCAUGCGCCUGAGACGAUGCGUGAGUGACGGUAAUGGGUAAAGAAGCACCGGCUAACUACGUG
rnacentral:rRNA from 1 species